UUCAAAAGCUCGUAGUUGAACCUUGGGCCUGGCUGGCCGGUCCGCCUCACCGCGUGCACUGGUUCGGCCGGGCCUUUCCCUCUGGGGAACCUCAUGCCCUUCACUGGGUGUGAUGGGGAACCAGGACUUUUACUGUGAAAAAAUUAGAGUGUUCAAAGCAGGCCUAUGCUCGAAUACAUUAGCAUGGAAUAAUAGAAUAGGACGUGUGGUUCUAUUUUGUUGGUUUCUAGGACCGCCGUAAUGAUUAAUAGGGACAGUCGGGGG
rnacentral:rRNA from 1 species